UUAAGCGACUAAGCGUACACGGUGGAUGCCCUGGCAGUCAGAGGCGAUGAAGGACGUGCUAAUCUGCGAAAAGCGUCGGUAAGGUGAUAUGAACCGUUAUAACCGGCGAUGUCCGAAUGGGGAAACCCAGUGUGAUUCGUCACACUAUCGUUAACUGAAUACAUAGGUUAACGAGGCGAACCGGGGGAACUGAAACAUCUAAGUACCCCGAGGAAAAGAAAUCAACCGAGAUUCCCCCAGUAGCGGCGAGCGAACGGGGAGCAGCCCAGAGUCUGAAUCAGCUUGUGUGUUAGUGGAACGGUCUGGAAAGUCCGACGGUACAGGGUGAUAGUCCCGUACACCAAAAUGCACAGGCUGUGAACUCGAAGAGUAGGGCGGGACACGUGGUAUCCUGUCUGAAUAUGGGGGGACCAUCCUCCAAGGCUAAAUACUCCUGACUGACCGAUAGUGAACCAGUACCGUGAGGGAAAGGCGAAAAGAACCCCGGCGAGGGGAGUGAAAAAGAACCUGAAACCGUGUACGUACAAGCAGUGGGAGCACCUUCGGGUGUGACUGCGUACCUUUUGUAUAAUGGGUCAGCGACUUAUAUUCUGUAGCAAGGUUAACCGUAUAGGGGAGCCGCAGGGAAACCGAGUCUUAACUGGGCGUUAAGUUGCAGGGUAUAGACCCGAAACCCGGUGAUCUAGCCAUGGGCAGGUUGAAGGUUGGGUAACACUAACUGGAGGACCGAACCGACUAAUGUUGAAAAAUUAGCGGAUGACUUGUGGCUGGGGGUGAAAGGCCAAUCAAACCGGGAGAUAGCUGGUUCUCCCCGAAAGCUAUUUAGGUAGCGCCUCGUGAACUCAUCUUCGGGGGUAGAGCACUGUUUCGGCUAGGGGGUCAUCCCGACUUACCAACCCGAUGCAAACUACGAAUACCGAAGAAUGUUAUCACGGGAGACACACGGCGGGUGCUAACGUCCGUCGUGAAGAGGGAAACAACCCAGACCGCCAGCUAAGGUCCCAAAGUCAUGGUUAAGUGGGAAACGAUGUGGGAAGGCACAGACAGCCAGGAUGUUGGCUUAGAAGCAGCCAUCAUUUAAAGAAAGCGUAAUAGCUCACUGGUCGAGUCGGCCUGCGCGGAAGAUGUAACGGGGCUAAACCAUGCACCGAAGCUGCGGCAGCGACACUAUGUGUUGUUGGGUAGGGGAGCGUUCUGUAAGCCUGCGAAGGUGUGCUGUGAGGCAUGCUGGAGGUAUCAGAAGUGCGAAUGCUGACAUAAGUAACGAUAAAGCGGGUGAAAAGCCCGCUCGCCGGAAGACCAAGGGUUCCUGUCCAACGUUAAUCGGGGCAGGGUGAGUCGACCCCUAAGGCGAGGCCGAAAGGCGUAGUCGAUGGGAAACAGGUUAAUAUUCCUGUACUUGGUGUUACUGCGAAGGGGGGACGGAGAAGGCUAUGUUAGCCGGGCGACGGUUGUCCCGGUUUAAGCAUGUAGGCUGAUUGUCCAGGCAAAUCCGGAUAAUCAAGGCUGAGGUGUGAUGACGAGGCACUACGGUGCUGAAGUAACAAAUGCCCUGCUUCCAGGAAAAGCCUCUAAGCAUCAGGUAACAUCAAAUCGUACCCCAAACCGACACAGGUGGUCAGGUAGAGAAUACCAAGGCGCUUGAGAGAACUCGGGUGAAGGAACUAGGCAAAAUGGUGCCGUAACUUCGGGAGAAGGCACGCUGGUGUGUAGGUGAAGCCCCUGCGGGUGGAGCUGAGACCAGUCGAAGAUACCAGCUGGCUGCAACUGUUUAUUAAAAACACAGCACUGUGCAAACACGAAAGUGGACGUAUACGGUGUGACGCCUGCCCGGUGCCGGAAGGUUAAUUGAUGGGGUUAUCCGUAAGGAGAAGCUCUUGAUCGAAGCCCCGGUAAACGGCGGCCGUAACUAUAACGGUCCUAAGGUAGCGAAAUUCCUUGUCGGGUAAGUUCCGACCUGCACGAAUGGCGUAAUGAUGGCCAGGCUGUCUCCACCCGAGACUCAGUGAAAUUGAACUCGCUGUGAAGAUGCAGUGUACCCGCGGCAAGACGGAAAGACCCCGUGAACCUUUACUAUAGCUUGACACUGAACAUUGAGCCUUGAUGUGUAGGAUAGGUGGGAGGCUUUGAAGCGUGGACGCCAGUCUGCGUGGAGCCAACCUUGAAAUACCACCCUUUAAUGUUUGAUGUUCUAACGUUGGCCCCUGACCGGGGUUGCGGACAGUGUCUGGUGGGUAGUUUGACUGGGGCGGUCUCCUCCCAAAGCGUAACGGAGGAGCACGAAGGUUAGCUAAUCCUGGUCGGACAUCAGGAGGUUAGUGCAAUGGCAUAAGCUAGCUUGACUGCGAGCGUGACGGCGCGAGCAGGUGCGAAAGCAGGUCAUAGUGAUCCGGUGGUUCUGAAUGGAAGGGCCAUCGCUCAACGGAUAAAAGGUACUCCGGGGAUAACAGGCUGAUACCGCCCAAGAGUUCAUAUCGACGGCGGUGUUUGGCACCUCGAUGUCGGCUCAUCACAUCCUGGGGCUGAAGUAGGUCCCAAGGGUAUGGCUGUUCGCCAUUUAAAGUGGUACGCGAGCUGGGUUUAGAACGUCGUGAGACAGUUCGGUCCCUAUCUGCCGUGGGCGCUGGAGAAUUGAGGGGGGCUGCUCCUAGUACGAGAGGACCGGAGUGGACGCAUCACUGGUGUUCGGGUUGUCAUGCCAAUGGCACUGCCCGGUAGCUAAAUGCGGAAGAGAUAAGUGCUGAAAGCAUCUAAGCACGAAACUUGCCCCGAGAUGAGUUCUCCCUGAGACUUUAAGUCUCCUGAAGGAACGUUAAAGACGAUGACGUUGAUAGGCCGGGUGUGUAAGCGCAGCGAUGCGUUGAGCUAACCGGUACUAAUGAACCGUGAGGCUUAACCUU
rnacentral:rRNA from 1 species